UAAUCUUCCUUUGCCCUAAAGAUUAAGACAUGCAAAUAUAAAGGCCGCCCCUCGCACGGGUGUCCUGGUGGAUUGCUCCAUAAAAAAUUACUAGGCUACUCGAUUGUGAGAAUCUAAACGGAAUAUCUUUUGUAACCAACAGCUAAUACGGCAGAAACUGUCUGUGUUUUCGGAUGCAGACUGCUCAUGUUAGUUUAAACCAACCCGGCAACGGAUUUGGCGAGUCACAACAUCUAGCGUCGGACAUGCUUAAUGCGGUCCGGAAUCGAUUGCGGUUUUUCCCUAUCAGGUUUCGAUGGUAGUGUAUUGAACUAUCAUGCCGUUGACGGGUGACGGGGGUUUUGGGACUGACUCCGGAGAAAAAGCCUGAGAGACGGCUUUUAGACCUAUGGGUUGCAGCAGUUACGGAAAUUAUCCCAUGCGCCUCGCGCGAGAUAGUGACAGGGAAUAUCAAAGCGGGACUCUUUGAGUCUUGCUGUUGGAAUGAGAACAAAUUAAAACCUUUAACGAGGAUCAAUU
rnacentral:rRNA from 1 species